rnacentral:rRNA from 1 species
AGUUGCGAACGGGUGAGUAACGCGUAGGUAACCUGCCUACUAGCGGGGGAUAACUAUUGGAAACGAUAGCUAAUACCGCAUAACAGCAUUUAACCCAUGUUAGAUGCUUGAAAGGAGCAAUUGCUUCACUAGUAGAUGGACCUGCGUUGUAUUAGCUAGUUGGUGAGGUAACGGCUCACCAAGGCGACGAUACAUAGCCGACCUGAGAGGGUGAUCGGCCACACUGGGACUGAGACACGGCCCAGACUCCUACGGGAGGCAGCAGUAGGGAAUCUUCGGCAAUGGGGGCAACCCUGACCGAGCAACGCCGCGUGAGUGAAGAAGGUUUUCGGAUCGUAAAGCUCUGUUGUAAGAGAAGAACGUGUGUGAGAGUGGAAAGUUCACACAGUGACGGUAACUUACCAGAAAGGGACGGCUAACUACGUGCCAGCAGCCGCGGUAAUACGUAGGUCCCGAGCGUUGUCCGGAUUUAUUGGGCGUAAAGCGAGCGCAGGCGGUUUAAUAAGUCUGAAGUUAAAGGCAGUGGCUUAACCAUUGUUCGCUUUGGAAACUGUUAGACUUGAGUGCAGAAGGGGAGAGUGGAAUUCCAUGUGUAGCGGUGAAAUGCGUAGAUAUAUGGAGGAACGCCGGUGGCGAAAGCGGCUCUCUGGUCUGUAACUGACGCUGAGGCUCGAAAGCGUGGGGAGCGAACAGGAUUAGAUACCCUGGUAGUCCACGCC